GAUGAACGCUGGCGGCGUGCCUAAUACAUGCAAGUCGAGCGAACAGACGAGGAGCUUGCUCCUCUGACGUUAUCGGCGGACGGGUGAGUAACACGUGGAUAACCUACCUAUAAGACUGGGAUAACUUCGGGAAACCGGAGCUAAUACCGGAUAAUAUAUUGAACCGCAUGGUUCAAUAGUGAAAGACGGUUUUGCUGUCACUUAUAGAUGGAUCCGCGCCGCAUUAGCUAGUUGGUAAGGUAACGGCUUACCAAGGCAACGAUGCGUAGCCGACCUGAGAGGGUGAUCGGCCACACUGGAACUGAGACACGGUCCAGACUCCUACGGGAGGCAGCAGUAGGGAAUCUUCCGCAAUGGGAGAAAGCCUGACGGAGCAACGCCGCGUGAGUGAUGAAGGUAUUCGGAUCGUAAAACUCUGUUAUUAGGGAAGAACAAAUGUGUAAGUAACUAUGCACGUCUUGACGGUACCUAAUCAGAAAGCCACGGCUAACUACGUG
rnacentral:rRNA from 1 species